AUACAAUACGACCAAGCUUCAUGUCGUUGUUGUGUGUGGGGGGGGCUUUCAUUAGAAAGUCCCCCCCAAGCAUACAGUUUGGGGGGGGACCAAGCAUACAGUUGAGAUUUAUCAAACGCUUUACAGUCAAUGGAAGCCCCGUAGGACCAAUACACGUCAGCGCGUCCGUUUCCCAGCAGUCUCACUUCAUAUUGUACACAAUCAUCAUGGCGACCCAGGAUGGAAGUGAAGAAGUCGUAAUGGAAACUGAAGCCACGUUGAAAGAGCCACAACCACUUGUUGAAAUUGUUGGCAAAGGGAAUGCUGAAGUAUUGGAAACUGUGUCUCGGACAGAUAAUGCCGGGGAAAGCUCUUCAACUCAGGACCCUACUGUCAGCAAUGGAGAUGACAGUGAUGAAGGAAAGGAGAUGGUGGAUCUAAAGAUUAUUUGGAACAAGAAUAAGUAUGAUCUCAAAAUUCCUUUAGAUGGCACUGGAGCCAAACUGAAAGAGCGAAUCCAUUCACUCACUGGUCUUCCACCUGCUAUGCAGAAAGUGAUGUACAAAGGCCUGCUACCAGAAGAUAAGACGCUACGUGAAAUUAAAGUUACAAAUGGUGCAAAAAUAAUGGUGGUUGGAUCUACAAUAAAUGAUGUACUAGCUGUAAAUACUCCAAAAGAGGUUAUUCAGCAGGAAGUUAAAGCUGAAGAAAACAAAAAGGAACCUUUGUGUCGGCAAAAACAACACAGAAAGGUGUUGGACAAAGGCAAACCAGAGGACAUAAUGCCAUCUGUUAAAGGAACAAAGGUGAGUAUUUUCAACAAAACCCGAAUGAAUGAUGGUUGGGAAAGUAUGCUUUUAAUGGUUGUUUUACACUGAGUAUACCAAGCAUUAGGAACACCUUCCUAAUAUUUUUGUAGCCCCCAUUUCUUUGCCCCCAGAACAGCCUCAAUUCCUUGGGGAAUGGACUCUCAAGGUGUCCACAGGGAUGCUGGCCCAUGUUGACUCCAAUGAUUCCCACAGUUGUGUCAAGUUGGGUAGUGGAAUAUUCUUGAUACACACGGGAAACUGAGUGUGAAAAAGCCAGCAGCGUUGCAGUUCUUUACACAAACCGGUGCUCCUGGCACCUACUACCAUACCCCAUUCAAAGGCACUUCAAUCUUUUGUCUUGCCUGUUCACCCCCUGAAUGGCACACAUACACAAUCCAUUUCUCAAUUGUUUCAAGGCAUAACAAUCCUUCUUUAACCUGUCCUCCCUUUCAUCUACACUGAAUUUAAGUGGAUUUAACAAGUGACAUAAUUAAGGGAUCUUAGCUUUCACCUGGAUUCACCUGGUCAUUCUGUCAUGGAAAAAGCAGGUGUUCCUAAUGUUUUGUAUACUCAGUGUAUAUUGCCCUGUUUAUGUAUUUUUCUCACAGAUAUUUCCACUGGAACACUGUAUCACGUUCAGGAGCUUGGAGAUGGUUCGUUGUGAAUUACUUCCUUGUUCUUCCACUAAUGACCAGCAAGUGAUCUCUCAUUUGUUACAUAGGAACGCUUACCAACAGUGCCUUUAGCCGGAAUGUACAACAAAUCUGGUGGAAAAGUUCGUCUCACCUUCAAACUGGAACAAGAUCAACUGUGGAUUGGAACUAAAGAGAGAACAGAGAAAAUCCCAAUGGGCUCCAUCAAACAUGUGGUGACUGAACCCAUUGAAGGCCAUGAGGAUUAUCACAUGAUGGUAACACGUUUCCUUACUACAAACUGCACAAGCCAGAAUGACAGUUGAUGUAAUGCGUUUCAGUUGGGUCCAACAGAAGCCUCUCAGUAUUGGGUCUACUGGGUGCCAAUUCAGUUUGUUGAUGCAAUCAAAGACACAGUCCUUGGAAAGUGGCAGUAUUUCUAAUGUGCCUCUAUUAUUGACAUUGAAGAACUGUGAUCUAGAACAGGAACAUAUGAAAAUGGGGAUCUGGAGACAACAAGGAGUCCUAAGGAACUUAACAUUGAAGCAUAUUAGAGAAGCAAACUGAAGGAUGCCUAAGGACUAACCAUAUUAUUUGGGGUUCAAGUGCACUAUGAGGCAGCAUCAUAUUCCUCAGCCCAGUUCACCAUUCAUUUUUUUGCGCAAACCCAAGGGAAAACAAUAAAACUAAAUGUACAGAGA